UGUCAUUGUUUUAUAGAUACCAUAGUGAGAAAGGAUUCAUUUCGCAGCACCUACGGCUUCCACUAGAUGUCAACGAUCUUUAUAAAGUUGUUUGAAGCGUCUAUGAUAAACAGAGAGCAAAUUAGAAUCCAAGGAAGUUGACAUGUCAUCACUUCAUUUUUUUGCGCCUGCGCAUAAAUCUGAGAAACGUGAGUUUGUCAUCAUUUUUUAUCUAGACAUAGGAUAGGUUGUGUGAAAAUAUUACUGAUGUUUAACGUUAAAAAUGGACCAAAAGAUUAAUGCUAAACAACAUUUGACAUGUUUGAACGAACAUAAAUGGAUUAUUUACUCGUUUUUUUUUGCUUUUCGGCGUGAUUUUACACUCCCCACACCACGUUUUGUGGGAGCAUAAUGAACGCUAAGUACUUGGUGUUAUUUGGACAUAAAUUAUGAACUUUGUCAAAAGAAACCACAUUUGUUCCGGACCUGGGAUGCCUUCCGGACCUGGGAUGCCUGCCUUCUGAUGGAGAUAAUCAAAGCCAGGUACCCUGACAGAAUCGGGAUGCUUCUUCCCAGUGGGACUUGGGAACGUGGAGCAAGGAGGGAUAACAGGGACAUGUAACAGAGACAGAUUCAGCCAGAUGCAAGCCUCCCAACCACCUGUCUCACAUAUGGUUGUUCGCCAGGGGAGCCAUCUGCUGCCUCUCAUCACCUGAUAGCGGAAUCGAAGGAGCACAGCAAGAGGAGCAUGGCAAUCAACGAUGGUCGCAUGUCACGAGCUGUGGAAGCCGAGGACAGCGGCCUCCCGCAAAGCAGUCUACACUCCCAACGAGACGCCCAGAGCGGAUACAAACAAUGAAUAGUUUCACCGCCCCCGAAGGAGCCUGAUCUUACUGCACCUCCGUUGCUGGGGGUACCUUUGUCUGCGGCGCUGUGCCUACUCCUUUCCCUACGAUUUCGAAGUUGACGUCGGCAACCUUCCGUCCUUGCUCUGGAUCGAGCGGGGCUUCUCCAUCUGUCGGAGGCCUGCACCAGGCUCAAGUUAUCCUGCCUUUCACCCAUCCUUAAAGGGUUCUCAGAACCCUGUUAAGCAUGGGAGUGGGCGGAUUUCCUCGUCCUUCUCGCCAGCCGUGAUUUUGGGCAGCUCCAUGCUAAGAAAUGUGACUGUUCCUAUCCUGGAGCUUGAGUAAAUGAUGUUACUAAGCUGCUCCCGAAUGUACAGUAGUUCUUCCUUUUAAAGGUUUUGAGCUUAUGAUGCGACCAUUAGUUUUAGGUGGUGGCAUUCUGUCAUUGCACCACACUAUCACAGUUGGGAGUUAGAACGCUAAUCUAUCAUUAGUCUAAACUGUGGCACAAGUUGACUAUCUUUUUGUAAAUUAAUGGAGGUGUUUUCAGUCUGAGAGUCUCUCUUCUCUGGCACUAGUCCUGCAUCAGGCAACAACAAAAAAACUGUCGGUGGUCCUGGACUUAAGAGAGAACUUAGGUAAAUACAAUGUGGAAAUCACACUUGAUAUGUGGACUGAUGAUUUUCGAAAAAUAGGUACGGUGGGCUUUUAGCUUCUCUCCCUCUAAAAACAGAAAUAAAUCAUUCUAAAUAACAAACUGGCUUUAUUUACCACAGCAUGAAAGAGUGAUAGCCCCUCUAUAUAAAGUGAGUUUCUGAAACACGGAGUCCUUCUUUGCUGAUGAAAAGAAGAAACAGAAUGAAAUAAAUAAGAACCAACACAAUUUCUGAUAGUCAUUAAUUGUCACGGGUAUCGUCGGUGAAGGAGGACCAAAAUGCAGCAGGACUGUGUUUGUUCAUUUUGAACAUUUAUUAAAUCAAAACGAAACAUAAAAACAACAAACAAGAGAACGAACGAUCCACUGACAGUCUGGCAAGGCACAAGGCUAAACACAGAACAAUUUCCCACAAACACACCCAACUAAUAUAGGACUUCCAAUCAAAGGCAACACCACACAGCUGCCUUCAAUUGGAAGUCCACCCCAAUUAACUCCACAUAGAAACACACUUACUAGACUACACAUAGAAAUACAUAAACAUAGACCAUAAACCAAAAACCCGGAAAUACUAAAUUAAACACCCUUUUACCAAAACACCACCCCGGACCACAUAAAACAAAUACCCUCUGCCACGUCCUGACCAAACUACAAUAACAAUUAACCCUUAUACUGGCCAGGACGUGACAUUAAUAAAGAAAUGUUUUGACCAAGUUCAUCUCCUCAUGUUGUCUGUGUUCAAUUACUUGUGACAUUGUGAUUACAAUGAAGAAUGUAAACAAAACAAAUCCUAUACAUAAUGAAUAAUCAGAUGCGUGUUAUGCGCUUUAUUUUUCCUUAUUCUUUUUUUGUACUAAUUUAUUUGAUAUUUUUUGACAAUACAAAACAUAUACAUACAAAUGACAACUACAUCACACCUGCCAAUACGCACCUGCUCACACCCCCCAUCUCAUUUUACAUUUUACAUUUUAGUCAUUUAGCAGACGCUCUUAUCCAGAGCGACUUACAAAUUGGUGCAUUCACCUAUAAUAUCCAG
rnacentral:lncRNA from 1 species